rnacentral:lncRNA from 1 species
GAAACACAAUAGAAAACCUUUCACGGGGAGAACAUAAUAGAAAACGUAUCAUGGGAGAACACAGUAGAAAACGAGGUCACACGAAGAAUACAUCAGAAAACAUAUCAUGGAGAGAACACAAUAGAAAAACAUCACGGGGAGAAAAUUAUAGAACACUUUUCAAGGGGAGAACACAAUAGAAAACGUGACACAGGGAGAACAUAAUAGAAAACUUGUCACGGGGAGAACACAAUAAAAAACUUACCAUGGGAGAUCACAUAGAAAACGUGCCACAGGGAGAACAAAAUAAAUAAAACUUAUCAUGAGGAGAACACAAUAGAAAACUUAUCAAGGGGAGAACACAAUAGGAAACUUAUCAAGGGGAGUACACAACAGAAAACUUAUCAUGGGGAG